UAUUUGUUUCUUUUAAAUUACUUUAGUCAAGAAUUUAUGGAUCACAAUACCGACAUAUUUUUCACCGUAUAUAAUGUCGAAUGGUAUGCAGUAUCUUUGCGCAUACAAAAGUUGAUACUGUUUCUCUUGCAAAGAAGUAAUAAAACCAUAAACAUUAAUUUUGGCGGAAUAUUCAUAUUAUCUUUAGAGUUUUUCGCCACGUUAACGAAGGUAUCGAUAUCUUAUUUUACCGUUAUGUGUUCUAUGCAAGAAUAACGUAAAAAGUAAAUAAUUCUAU